AUGUCCCUCUUCCGGUGACGUACCGUUACUGCGGCGGAUGUUGAUGUUUUGUUUCAGAGCGCUGGCAGAACGAUGUGAACUGUAUCGUCUCCGGGACGGGUUGAUAUUUUUCGUGGUUGUCUUCGCGGUUCUAUUUGUACUCUUUUCUCGGUAAGGCUCGCUGUUCUUCGGCAUCGUGUCUGUCCCGGUGUCUGUCCCGGGAAGCGCGAGACCGAGUCGUGCGAUGAUGGAGGACUUUGAUGAGAUCUACGAAGAGGAGGAGGAGGAGGAAGAGGAGGACGAGGACAGGGCCGCGGAGGAGCAGCUCCUCAAGUACGCUCCGGACCCGGUGGUGGUGCGAGGGUCCGGCCACGUCACUGUCUUUGGGCUUAGUAACAAAUUUGAGUCAGAAUUUCCUUCAGCACUAACAGGAAAGGUGGCACCAGAGGAAUUCAAAGCCAGUAUCAACCGUGUAAACAGCUGCCUGAGGAAGACGCUGCCAGUGAACGUGCGGUGGCUCCUGUGUGGCUGCCUCUGCUGCUGUUGCACAUUGGGCUUCAGUUUGUGGCCUGUCAUCUGUCUCAGCAAGAGGACAAGACGAUCUAUAGAGAAACUUCUGGAGUGGGAAAACAGCAGACUUUACCACAAGGUGAGCAUGAACGGAUGUGUGCCUAUUAAUAGUGUACCUUGUUAGGACAUGUUAUAAAAAUAUCUGAUCUCUAUUGCACUCUGUUUUCAGUUGUGUUUGCAUUGGAUACUAAGCAAAAGGAAGUGUGAAACCAACAACAUGAUGGAAUAUGUAAUCUUAAUAGAGUUCUUACCUAAGAUCCCCAUCUUCAGACCAGACUAGCCCAAUUGCAGCUGAUCUUAAACCUCCACUGCUGCCCAGCUCUGAACCACAAUGGCUGUCAAGUCCUGAAUGAAUACCCCAAUCUUUUUGUUUACAGGGUAGCAUUGAUCCUCCCUCUUUUCUCUUUAACUUGUUCUCCCACACAUACCUUCUCUUCACCCUUGUUUACAAACCCGGCAUCCCAACACUUGUUUUUGGAGUGAAUUCACCAUUGAAUCACGACCACGAUCAUCAGGCGAGCUGGCACACUGUUAAGCCAUGCUAACCUGCACCAGCCUGUGGGAUGUUGGGAGAACCAGCCAUGGGCAGCGUUAAUGGAUUUUGGAUCUAGAGCUGGAGACUGGACUCUCAGAUUGAGUUCUCUGAGCUACGACUGGAAUUUUGUCACUUGUAUUUCCCCUAACCUAAGCACAUGGCACAGUCAGACCAUGAUAAAACAAACACUUUCACGUGUCACCUACUGUCACACCGCCAACUUCACCUGCAAAAAAUACACCCCAGUGCUUUUGUACCAGUUAGUGUGGUGCUCUAGAUCAUUACUAGAGGCUGUGGAGCAACAUAACAUGGAACUCCAAAGGAACCUUUAUCCAAAUCAACUCUGUAGCAGACAGAUUAGUCUUACAGAAGCAUGUUGGGCCACAGCCAGAACAGCUGAACUCAAAAAUGUCCCUCUUCUCAUCAACUACCAAACGUCCUCUCGCCUCCUUUUACAUAUCUGCACACUUCACUGUGCAUCACCCCUAACCCAGUGACAAUCACACACUCUGACUGUACUCUCCGUAGUGUGAAUGGGUCUUUAUGUUACACAGUUUACCUGGAACAUUUUGUUUUCAACAUAACAUGUGUGUCAAGGUGAUGGGCUGGCUGCCUAGCAACCGCUCCUGAGUCACAGUGGAACAAGUAAGCUGGAAAGGAAAGCCACUAGUGAUGAAAAAGAGAUACCUUUUAUUCUUUUUUUAGUAUCUUAAGUUUUGUUUACUGUUUUGGUGAAAGAGAGGCAAUCAGUACUUCACUGUUGUGUGUAUCUUUCUGAGAGUGAGAACUAUAAGCAAAUAAGAGACAAAUCAGACACAAAGAGAUACUCUUUACUCUGUAAAGCAGCAGGGUUCUUCCUUUGACGUAUAUCUUUGCCAUAACCAAUCUUUGUUACUUUUGUUGUAAUUUAAUAUAAAUGCAUGAGUGCGCAUAGAAUCUGUGCAUUCGUGAAAGGGGUCUCAGUUGUUUUUUUGCAAAGGUAUGCCAUGGUUGCUUCCUUUUUGUCUUUAUGGUCAUGUGACAACACUAAAACACAAUCGCUUUGUCCUUAACACCUUCACAUGGCCUCUCUUCCAUAUCUGUUGACCUUGGCUUACUUAUAUGAGUGUUCAAGUUAACGAUGUGGCUUUUCUGAGAAAGUUCCUCUGCUUUAGAUAUAAUCUGACCCUUUACAUUCAGAGGUCUGGAGUGACCAAGAAUGUUAGGUCAUUUUAUUAGGUGUUAGGUAAUAGCAGGGUUCUGUAUCAUGAAGCAGGAUUACUAAAGUUAGCUUAAUAACUGCACUGAGUAAAACCAGACUACACCCACAUCAGGAAUGUGGACAUCAAGCUACACUAAUCAGUGUUUUUAUAUUAACAAUAAAAAAAAUGACUGUAAUGUGAAAGGAGUUACUUGUAAUGAUGUACCUACCUACAGAGAAUUAUCACCCAACUGUAGUCCCCCUCAGCUCUACGGAGCGUUAUAGCGUCUUUCAGCUCAUUGUUUUGAUUUUCUGGCCUGUGGCAGCAGAGAAACCUCUGAUAAACCCACUGUACACUAGCUGCUCAGCACCAAACAACAGACACACAGUGACUAGCUGGUGAACAUAGUGGAGCAUUUAGGAGCUAAAGAUAUUUCCCAGAUAUUUCCCUCAGGAGUUAAUGGAGACCAGUAAUGGAGCUAAAAGGAGAAUGACUCUUGAACUUACUUUUAUCAGGUGUCCGGAAACCUGACCCCAAUUGAAUGCUAAUGUUGCAGUUUGCUAACAAGCUGUUCGUUACUUCAGUUAUCUAUCUAACAAUCCUGCUUCGUUAUAAAGGCCUAAGACAAUUUUAAAACUGUCAACAUGUUAUAGAUCACAUCAUAAAGCACAUCUCAGUUUAAAUGAAACGUACAACCAAAUGCCAGCAAAAAGGUGAUGGUAUAGAUGUAGCUUUUCACUGUCAGCAUCACCUCUUGAUUUAUAAAAACAUCCAGAGACUGAGAUUGAACAAAGCCACUUUGUUUUAGGUCACACAGCUCCAGUGAUUAUGGGUCACACUCAGGGGAUUAUACUUACAACAAAAUGUAGUAUUGGAAAAUCUCACUGUCAGGUAUGUUCCUAAGUUAUACCAGGGGGUAAAGUAUUCUGCACAGAUCACACAUUACUUGAGUAAUUGGAGUAUGUUAUGAAAUUGAAGAAAUGCCUCUAAAGACAACUAAUCUUUCUGUGGUCUUCCUGUUGAGUUAGUAAAGGAAGCACAUCUUCCAUGGACCCACAAAGCUCAGACAUUGUUUUGGUUUAUAUGUUGAAAGACCCAAAAUUCACUCGAUUGGUUCAUCAGUGACUUUUCUAUAUUUUUGAUUGUGCUCGGUUCUAUGUAAAUCAAGGCAUAAGGCCAUAUGCAGAUAUUUGUGCUGUGUGUGUACACGGUGUAUGAAGAUGCAAAUGUUCUUCGUAGAUCUCAGACUGUGAUUGAACCCUGCACAGAAAUUGAGUCCUUUUUUUAUAUAAUCUUGAGUGGUCUGUGUGUUUGUGUGUAUGAGAGUGAGAAAGAUAUAUGUACAUAUGACUCAUGAGCAGGUGUGCAGAUGUACAGUAAUAAACUACCAAUAAACAAGGCUAUGGGCAUCCUCCUCUUUAA